CUCUGGUUCCUGUACGAUCAUCGAAGUUAAGCAACUUUGAGCCUGGUUGGUACCUAGAUGGGUGACCGCUUGGGAAUACCAGGUGUUGUAG